CAUUAGAUGGCUGAAAGUAAGUAAUGGAAUUUUAAACCAUUUAAUAGUAAUUAACAAAUACUUCUAAUG
rnacentral:tRNA from 1 species